CAAUGACAUUGAUUUGCAAUCCGGUGAAAAAGAUGAAGUCCAGUCCUAGAACAACAGUGUAUGCAAGUGCCUUGAAAGACAGAACUGCAGCAGGUAAAGGGGACCUCGAGACCAGGGUUGUAGGUGGUCUGAUGACAUAAUCUGUUUUUGGAGGCUCUCGUGGAUAAGUGUGUAGCUUGCUCCAGUAUCCACAAUGGCUUUGCCAGUCCAGCUGCCACAGAGUUGUUCGAAGGUGGACCACUCAUCUUGGGAGACUGGUAAGGACGUUUGCCACUGGAGGACUGUUGCUGGUUUGAGGUUGGCUGAGAUGGUGGGGAGCCAUAAUGUGGACAGUUGCCAGGUGCAUGAUGUCCUCUACACCUCCAACAUUGCACUAGUGGUUUAUCAGCAGGUCGGUUAAAUGUGGGUCUAUGUGGUAUGGGUUGAGACUUAUGGGUUAGUCGUCCUUCGUAUUGAAGCUGGUGUUCAUAAUCCUUCUCUAGCUGAUGUCCUAGUUUGACAAGCUCCUCUACAGUGUUCACCCGGCUUCGCAACUGGCUGGCAAGCUGAGGUUUGACAUUCUUAAGGAUCAUCUUGACAAUCUCACUCUCUGUUAGGUCUGGCUUCCACCUUUUACAAAGAGCUCUGUAGGUGAAUGCAAAGUCUCUAAUAGUCUCAUUGUCUCCUUGAAUCCUGGUACGUACCCGCUCAGCCAGUUCAUCUUGGUAGUCUUCUGAAAGAAACGCAGAGAGAAAGGCAGCCUCAAACUCACUCCAGGAUGUGAUGUUGGAGCGGCUCACUUCCCACCAAUCACGAGCUGUGCCAUAUAAUACAGUACGAAAGGUAGCCAUUAUGUCCACAUCUGAUAGUGGGUGUAGGGCUAAAAAGUCUUGGCAUUUGGUUAAGUAGAGUAAUGGAUCCUCAUCAUCCGUAGACCUUCCAAAUGUUGGAAAAGUUAAUUUUAUGUGAUCACUUUUAAUCACAGGUGCCGAAGGAGAAGGGAGUAAUGUGUCUGCUGGUAGAGGAGGGGAAGUGGAACUAGUUUUGAAGACUUGGGUUGCUACACUCAGGUAUUCUUUGACUUGAUUUUCCUUCUUAAAAUGUUUAAAUCCAUCCUCUACUUCGUGUUGUAAGUCCUUAAAACAUGCAUACAGUUUGUCUGUGUGUUUCACACAUUGAUGUAGUUCUUUAGUUAGAUGAUCAUUGCUUUGCUGAAGGGUGUGUUGAAUAGCCUUAAGGUCCUGUUGAACUUCCAGCUGGAGUUGUUCAACCAUAAAGCGCACUUCAGACACUAAGGUCGAUUCCAGUUUUUGGAGCUCCUCUGUAAUCAUAAUUUUCGUUGCUUUGGUUUGCUGGUCUGCCUCAUUUUCCUGUUGUUGUGUAGUUGUAGUUAUAUAGGUGACAACCUGCUUAUGGUCUGCAUCCAUUUUUGCAACAAGAUCAGCAAUUUGGCCUUUGUGAUGUGUAGACGUUUUCUCUAUCCCCUGGGAGUUGGGAGAACACCAGGCAAUUCCUGAUGGGUGAAAGUAGAUUCAGGGGAUGGUUCAGGUGAUGUGCACAAUUGCAUGAAAUCUGGUUCCUGCUCCCAAGUGAGGGUGGGCACUGGUGGGCUGUUAGCUAACACAGAGGUGGAGGUUUGCACAUGGGUCCUUGGACAUAUUGUACUGGACAUUUUGGAAAUGUCAGGACAAGGGGCAUAAUGAAAUGAUCCACAUGGAGGAUGUGGAUAUGAGGGAAGGGGCCAACUAGGAGUUGCAAUG